rnacentral:tRNA from 1 species
GGGGAUUUAGUUCAGUGGUAGAGCGCUUGCCUAGCAAGUGCAAGGCCCUGGGUUUAGUCCCCA